UAAAAUUUUAGUUUAAAUUAAAACAAUUUAUUUACACUAAAUAGAUUUAAUUAAUUAAAAAUUUUAU
rnacentral:tRNA from 1 species